AAAGCGUGCGCAGGCGGUUUUGUAAGUUUGUCGUGAAAUCCCCGGGCUCAACCUGGGAAUGGCGAUGAAGACUGCAAGGCUAGAGUUUGGCAGAGGGGGGUAGAAUUCCACGUGUAGCAGUGAAAUGCGUAGAUAUGUGGAGGAACACCGAUGGCGAAGGCAGCCCCCUGGGUCAAAACUGACGCUCAUGCACGAAAGCGUGGGGAGCAAACAGGAUUAGAUACCCCUGU
rnacentral:rRNA from 1 species